GGAGGAAAGCAGGGGAUCGCAAGACCUUGCGCUUCUAGAGCGGCCGAUGUCUGAUUAGCUUGUUGGUGAGGUAAAGGCUUACCAAGGCUUCGAUCAGUAGCUGGUCUGAGAGGACGACCAGCCACACUGGGACUGAGACACGGCCCAGACUCCUACGGGAGGCAGCAGUGGGGAAUUUUGGACAAUGGGGGCAACCCUGAUCCAGCCAUGCCGCGUGAGUGAAGAAGGCCUUCGGGUUGUAAAGCUCUUUCAGCCGGAACGAAACGGUUACGGUUAAUACCCGUGACUACUGACGGUACCGGAAGAAGAAGCACCGGCUAACUACGUGCCAGCAGCCGCGGUAAUACGUAGGGUGCGAGCGUUAAUCGGAAUUACUGGGCGUAAAGCGUGCGCAGGCAGUUUUGUAAGUCAGAUGUGAAAUCCCCGGGCUUAACCUGGGAACUGCGUUUGAAACUACAAAGCUAG
rnacentral:rRNA from 1 species